UUUAGAAUAUCCAGAAAAAAUUGUGGGAAAUCUCCUUGCAUUGGAAUGUUUGCCCUGUCAUUUCCCUAAGAACCAAAAAAAGUGUGGAAAAAGCCAAUGGAGAAAAAGAACAAGAGUGUUGGUUUGCCAUAAAGAGAGGUAGAUGGAAGGUUGGACUUAGCAAGAUUGCUACCAAAUUUGGUAAAUCUGGCCACUCUUAUUUGCAAGGGUACACUUGGAUGAAAAUUGGAUGGAUUGUUAUAAUCCAGGAUUAUAUGCAUGAAAUGUGAUUUGUAAUGUAUGGAAGCAAAAAAAACACUAUCCUUCAUUACUGCCAAACAAAUUUUGCUUAAAUUAUCAUAGUAUUAUAACAAUUUCUGCGAAGAUUUUUAUUUUAAGUCAAAAUUUUUAUGUCAACUUAAUGUAAUGAUUGAAUAGCUCACUCUCAAGCAGUUUCGCUUUAAAUUGAUGCAAUGUAGUACUAUCAUGAAAAACCGCUGGCAUAGAAUUUCAUAAAUCGGAAGCAGAAAUGCAAAAUAAUCAAUUGCAUUAGGCUUGCUUACCUUACUUUUGUAGCUUAUAUUAAGUAGCUGCAAUUACUAUCAUAGGACUUUAAAAUAUUGAUAAUUUUACUGGCAAUGUAAUUUAUAAAAUGCACAAACUCUCUGAAAAGAGCUUA